CGUAGGGUGCGAGCGUUGCCCGGAUUUAUUGGGCGUAAAGGGCGCGUAGGCGGCUCGGCACGUCCGUUGUGAAAUCGCCCGGCUCAACUGGGCGGGGUCAGCGGAUACGGUCGAGCUUGAGCAAGCUAGGGGGCAAUGGAAUUCCCGGUGUAGUGGUGGAAUGCGUAGAUAUCGGGAGGAACACCAGUGGCGAAGGCGGUUGCCUGGGGCUUUGCUGACGCUGAGGCGCGAAAGCGUGGGGAGCGAUCCGGAUUAGAUACCCGGGUAGUCCACGCCGUAAACGAUGCGGACUAGGUGUCGGGGGUAUCGACCCCCUCGGCGCCGCAGCUAACGCACUAAGUCCGCCGCCUGGGGACUACGGCCGCAAGGCUA
rnacentral:rRNA from 1 species